AGAAGGUGAAUUUAUUUGUGGGUUCAUCACCUCACCAAAAUAAGUGGUGGUGAACCCACGAAUAAAUUCACCUUCU